UGGGUGAUCAGCCCUGCACUUCGGGAUAAGCCUGGGAAACUGGGUCUAAUACCGGAUAUGAUCAUGCGCCUCCUGGUGUGUGGUGGAAAGCUUUUGCGGUGUGGGAUGGGGCCCCGCGGCCUAUCAGCUUGUUGGUGGGGUAAUGGCCUACCAAGGCGUCGACGGGUAGCCGGCCUGAGAGGGUGUCCCGGCCACACGUGGGACUGAGACACGGUCCAGACCUCCGUACGGGNGCA
rnacentral:rRNA from 1 species